rnacentral:rRNA from 1 species
CCUACGGGUGGCAGCAGUGGGGGAUAUUGGACAAUGGGGGGAACCCUGAUCCAGCGACGCCGCGUGAGUGAAGAAGUAUCUCGGUAUGUAAAGCUCUAUCAGCAGGGAAGAAGAAAUGACGGUACCUGAGUAAGAAGCCCCGGCUAACUACGUGCCAGCAGCCGCGGUAAUACGUAGGGGGCAAGCGUUAUCCGGAAUUACUGGGUGUAAAGGGAGCGUAGACGGUGAUGUAAGUCUGGAGUGAAAGGCGGGGGCCCAACCCCCGGACUGCUCUGGAAACUAUGUGACUGGAGUGCAGGAGAGGUGAGCGGAAUUCCUAGUGUAGCGGUGAAAUGCGUAGAUAUAUGUAAGAACACCAGUGGCGAAGGCGGCUUGCUGGGUCGAUACUGACAUUGAGGCACGAAAGCGUGGGGAGCAAACAGGAUUAGAUACCCGUGUAGUC